rnacentral:tRNA from 1 species
CGGGGUGUGGCGCAGCUUGGUAGCGCGCGUCGUUCGGGACGACGAGGCCGCAGGUUCAAAUCCUGUCACCCCGACCAC